rnacentral:rRNA from 1 species
GCCAAACAGCUAGCUCAAAUAUUUAAUAACUAAACAAUAUAAAUAAGACAAAAUAAGCCUAUUACCAAAACUUAAACCAUUCUUUUACCUUAGUAUGGGAGACAGAAAAGGCCCCACGAAGCAAUAGAAAGAGUACCGCAAGGGAAAGCUGAAAGAGAAAUGAAAUAACCCAUAUAAGCAUUAAAAAGCAAAGAUUCAACCUUGUACU